UGACCCGUUCCGUGAAAGCCUGUUGCCAGAGGGGCUAUUGCAGAUGUCCCAUGCGUAAAAACCUCGGAUUUUCGAGCGAAAUGCUUUGAAACGUCAUGGGGGCGUGCUAUCGACCACCGCCAACCCCACUGAUGGGCUUCGAUUCGAGCGACGCGUUAGCGGACCGCUCGAUUUUGCACAUCCAGAGGUUUUUACCGCAGCCACGGGCUGCCGAACGGAGUUGGCAAUGNUCACGCAAUCGGGUCAGGGUAUUCGCGAAGCAUUCACAUUCGACGAUGUGCUGCUGAAACC
rnacentral:misc_RNA from 1 species